AUGGCAGUGAGCGUGGAGAUCACACGGAAGGCAGUGCUGAGGUCUUCACCGGAGUCAGCAUGGGGCGGCGCCAAGAAGGUUCCCAUCACCGUCUUCGACCGCGCCUCCACCGACGGGUACAUCCCGACGGUCUUCGUGUGGAGCUCGCCGGCGCCUACCAACGGCACGCUCAAGGACGGCCUCCUCGCCACCGUCGCAAGGUUCCCACACCUGGCAGGGAGGUUCGCCGUCGACAACAACGGAAGGAAGUUCCUCCACCUCAACAACGCCGGGGUGCUAGUCAUUGAGGCUACCGCCCGGGCGGACCUCGCUACGGCGUUAGCGCAUGACGCCUCCGCCCAUAUCGCCGAGCUAUACCCAAAAGCGGAGAAGGAACAUGUGGACGAGCCUAUCUUCCAGGUGCAGCUGACGCGGUACACGUGCGGCGGGCUUGUGAUCGGCAUGGCCAGCCAUCACCAGGUCGCCGAUGGCCAGUCCAUGAGCGGCUUCUCCGCCUCCUGGGCCACCGCCGUCCGCACUAAUCCCGAAAAAAGACGGGCCGAGGACAUUUCGGAUUUCAGACUAAUUAGCCUCAUUCAUGCGGUUGCCAAAAUCAUCGCUAAAAUGAUGGCCUCUCGCUUAGCCCCUCACAUGCCCAACCUAGUCUCGAAUGCACAAAAUGCUUUCAUCAAAAGGAGAAGUAUCCACGACAACUUUAUGUAUAUCAGAAACUUGGCCAGACGCUUUCACCGCACGAAAUCCCCUACCCUCCUUUUCAAGCUCGAUAUAAAAAAGGCCUUCGAUUCGGUUAGAUGGAACUAUUUAAUGGAUUUGCUUCGACACCUGGGCUUCCCAAGUCACUUCCGUGAUUGGGUUUCGACGCUCCUCUCCACAGCCUCCUCCCGUGUGCUACUUAACGGUAUUCCCGGCAACCCGACCAGACAUGGACAAGGCCUUCGGCAAGGGGACCCGCUCUCGCCGCUCCUCCUUGUCCUUGCUAUUGACCCCCUACACCACAUACUUGCCAAAGCCACCGCCCAAGGGAGCUUGCAUCCGCUCAGAGAAAGACUGAUCCGUGCGUCCUUGUACGCCGAUGAUGCUGCCAUCUUCGUUGCACCCACUAAAAGUGAUAUUCAAUUCUUGCCGUCGACAUUGGCCUCUUUUGGGGAGGUCACUGGCUUGGUCACCAAUUGUGCAAAGAGUCUCGUUGCGCCUAUCCGUUGUGAGGGCAUCAACCUUCAGGAUGUUCUACAUGACUUUCCAGCAGUUCGCUCCGGCUUCCCAGUGCGAUAUUUGGGGCUGCCCCUCUCAGAUAGAAGACUCAAAAGGAUACAUUUCCAAUAUUUAGAGGACAAGGUCGCCGGCAAGCUCCCGCCAUGGGCGGCCAAGCACGUGGCCACCCCUAGUUGUAUUGUCCUCGUCAAGGCCGUGCUCACGGCCAUUGCAAUCUACCAUCUGACACCCCUUGAUUUACCGGUGGAGGUGAGGAAGAAGAUUGAUAGUUUGAGACGCGCAUAUCUGUGGGCAGGUUGUGACAAGGUCAUGGGAAGAAAAUGCAAAGUUAAUUGGGAACUUGUUGUAAGCCAAGGAUUUAUGAUGGGCUAG
rnacentral:rRNA from 1 species